CUCCUGUCUGCUGCAGCCUCACACACCAGACAGUUCUCAAGAUGUCCUUCGGGGGAGCCUCCAGGAAGACGAAGAAGAGGCACUAGGUGCAUGCCUACACAGAGGAAAGCCAUGUGAGGACACAGCGAUAAGAUUGCUGACUGCAAGCUCAGGAGAACUUAGAAGAAACCAACCCUACCAGCACCUUGAUCUUGGACUUCCAGCCUCCAGAACUGUGAGAAAGUAAAUUUCUGUUGUUUAAAUCACCCAGUCUAUGGUAGUUUGUUAUGAUGACCCAAGCAGAAUAAUGCAUACCAUGAUUCUCUUCCAUUCUCUCAACUCAGGACAUCCUUUCCCAGUGUUGGGG
rnacentral:lncRNA from 1 species